CGAAAUGCGAUAAGUAAUGUGAAUUGCAGAAUUCAGUGAAUCAUCGAAUCUUCGAACGCACCUUGCA
rnacentral:rRNA from 1 species